CACCAGACUCCUACGGGAGGCAGCAGUGGGGGAUAUUGCACAAUGGGGGGAACCCUGAUGCAGCGACGCCGCGUGGGUGAAGGAGUGCUUCGGCAUGUAAAGCCCUAUCGGCAGGGAAGAAGCAAGACGGUACCUGACUAAGAAGCCCCGGCUAACUACGUGCCAGCAGCCGCGGUAAUACGUAUGGUGCAAGCGUUAUCCGGAUUUACUGGGUGUAAAGGGAGCGCAGGCGGUACGGCAAGUCUGAUGUGAAAGCCCGGGGCUCAACCCCGGUACUGCAUUGGAAACUGUCGGACUAGAGUGUCGGAGGGGUAAGUGGAAUUCCUAGUGUAGCGGUGAAAUGCGUAGAUAUCAGGAGGAACACCAGUGGCGAAGGCGGCUUGCUGGACGAUGACUGACGUUGAGGCUCGAAAGCGUGGGGAGCAAACAGGAUUAGAUACCCCCGUAACG
rnacentral:rRNA from 1 species